rnacentral:rRNA from 1 species
GACGAACGCUGGCGGCGUGCUUAACACAAGCAAGUCGAACGGAAAGGCCCUGCUUUUGUGGGGUGCUCGAGUGGCGAACGGGUGAGUAACACGUGAGUAACCUGCCCUUGACUUUGGGAUAACUUCAGGAAACUGGGGCUAAUACCGGAUAGGAGCUCCUGCUGCAUGGUGGGGGUUGGAAGGUUUCGGCGGUUGGGGAUGGACUCGCGGCUUAUCAGCUUGUUGGUGGGGUAGUGGCUUACCAAGGCUUUGACGGGUAGCCGGCCUGAGAGGGUGACCGGCCACAUUGGGACUGAGAUACGGCCCAGACUCCUACGGGAGGCAGCAGUGGGGAAUAUUGCACAAUGGGCGGAAGCCUGAUGCAGCAACGCCGCGUGCGGGAUGACGGCCUUCGGGUGGUAAACCGCUUUCGCCUGUGACGAAGCGUGAGUGACGGGAAUGGGUAAAGAAGCACCGGCUAACUACGU